CAGUCAUCCAUCCUGUGGGUUUGGCUGCACUUAUCCGAGGGUAGACAGUAAACUCAGUAUAUUCCCAUCAUUUGUCUUUGGGGUCAGAUAUAGUUAAAGUGUACCAUGAGGUCGGGUUCACAUGUUGCCCAUGCCGUUUAAGGAAUCUGGUCGAAAUCCAGGCCUUACGAUUUGUAUAAUGAAUUAUGCACGACCAGUAAGGACACCCAUUAUAAACCUCUGACCACCGGUGGCAAUAAUUUUCAGUCUGAUCAAAAAGAAAGCAAAUGAAAGGAUCAUCAUAGCUACCUGGAUCGAAGAACCUGGAAGGUGUCAAUUUUAGGGAAACAGAGGUGCAGUUGUGGAUGAAGCAAGUAGUUACAUUGAUUGUGCGGACCUUCUGCAUGCCGUGUUCCGAGUAUCAUUCCCAAAGGGUGAAUUGGUACAUGGUAGGAGAGGAAGGUGAAGACCAGUCCCAAAAGAGCACAGAAAACAAGCGAAGAGAGAGCUAGAGUGUUGGGAGAGCUCAUUGUGCCUUCUUUAAGAGGAAUUGGGCUGCGGGGAACACCGUGUGAGCCGUAACUUAAAGGGAUGAGAUGGGUGUGGAGAGCAGGAGUAAAGGGGAGGUUCAGGAAGUGACUCUUGGAGUUCCCCUAGGAUGGUCCUGUCAUCAGUAGAUGAGACUUCUUGAUGGUAUGGAAAUGUGAAUCCAGGGGGUAAGACGGUUGUCUGGUAAGGAGAGUUUGGUGGCGGUGGGGGUACAGAGAAUGACCAGAUAGGGGCCUUCCCAUUUUGGGGCAAGAGGCCCUUUCUCCUCCGAGGUAUUAUAAUAGACUAAACUCCCAGGUGUUAAGGGAGGAGUGUUUGGAGAGGAGUCUGGGUCCGGGAGAAGCCAGUCCUGAUAUUUCCAGAGUUCCGAGCGAAGAUGAAACAAGAGAGGCAAAGACAAAUCUCAUGAGAGAGGUCCCUGUGAAA
rnacentral:lncRNA from 1 species